AGCGCGGAUCGGCAGAGCGCGUACGCGGACGAGGUUCCAAAUCCGUCCAGUGUGCGUUCGAGUCGCACCGGGGGCACCA
rnacentral:tRNA from 1 species